rnacentral:lncRNA from 1 species
AACACUUCAGUUAAAUCUAGGUUUUUGUUCAUCUGUAAAUAAGGUUAUUUGUCCGUAUAUAUAUAUACAUAUACUAAUAUGACAACAUUCAGAUUAAAAAAUCAUUAUGGGACAGUUUAUGAUUAUUCUGCUUCCAAGGAGGAAAUUGGACAUAGUGAUGACGCCCAGGUGGCCAAAGGAUAUGGAGAAAAAAACAAUUUUCAAUGGGAAUUUCAAAGCAAAGCUGGUACUGGGGGAAAUCACACAGCCCUUUGGAAGAAGAAUAGUGAAAAUACAGAUAUGGCACCUCUAUUCUCAAGAUUAGACAUCUACUUCAGGAUAAAAUUGGUAAAUGAACAGAUAAGAAAGUACAAGCCAGGAUUCUUGAAAAGACUCACUGACUCAGACAACAUCAACUGACACAAAUAUUUCAUUAACGAUCACCAGAGAAGACAGCAAUGGCCACCAAAACACUAUGAAACACCUGUGGUAUGGACAAAGUUUGUUCAUUGUUUUUGUAAAGUACUUCUAAGAAUCUGAAAUGUCUGGUUGUACCUUCCAUAUCGGUACUUUAAAUCCAUCUAUAAAUGGGUGCAAUUGCUGGUAUUUUUUAAGCACUUUUUUGAGAUGCAAUUCUAUUUAUCUUACUAAAUGUUUUGCACUUUAUAACAACACAUAAAGUAGUACUGUUCUAUAUUAGUAAAAGAAAAAUUAUGAGAAACUUCUUGUGCAGUAAAUUACAAGCAAGGACAAAUUUAAAAGACUUGUCCUUGACUGCCUUAUUUCUACUGGGCAAAAAUAAGCCUUAGUGAUUUAUGAUAAGAGAAAUAAUGACUUUAUUAAAGACUUGUUCAAGCUCAUUUUUCAAAAUAUAUAGUACAUGUGAUCAUUUAUUACUGAUUUUUUAUGCUUCAGUUGUACUAUGAGAC